rnacentral:rRNA from 1 species
GAUGUAGCCUGCCCAUUGAUAUAAUAUUUAACGGCCGCAGUACCUUGACUGUGCUAAGGUAGCAUAAUAAAUUGACUUUUAAUUGGGGCCUUGAAUGAAAGGAUUAUUGGAUAAUUUCUGUCUUAUAAAUAAUUUAUUUUAAAUUACUUAAAAGGUGAAAAUUCCUUUUAAUUUAUACAAUAGACGAGAAGACCCUAGGAGUUUUUAAUUUUGUUGGGGCGACAGUGUAGCAUUAAACCUAUAAAAUAAUGAUGAUUAUAAAACGAAUAAUUUUAAUUAAAAAUAAACUACCCUAGGGAUAACAGCACAAUUUAAAUUUAAGUUUGUGACCUCGAUGUUGGACUAGGA